CCUACGGGAGGUAGCAGUGGGGGAUAUUGCACAAUGGGGGAAACCCUGAUGCAGCGACGCCGCGUGGGUGAAGAAGCGCCUCGGCGCGUAAAGCCCUGUCAGCAGGGAAGAAAAUGACGGUACCUGAAGAAGAAGCCCCGGCUAACUACGUGCCAGCAGCCGCGGUAAUACGUAGGGGGCAAGCGUUAUCCGGAUUUACUGGGUGUAAAGGGGGCGCAGACGGCGAUGCAAGCCAGGAGUGAAAGCCCGGGGCCCAACCCCGGGACUGCUCUUGGAACUGCGUGGCUAGAGUGCAGGAGGGGCAGGCGGAAUUGCUGGUGUAGCGGUGAAAUGCGUAGAUAUCAGGAGGAACACCGGUGGCGAAGGCGGCCUGCUGGAUUGCAACUGACGUUGAGGCCCGAAAGCGUGGGGAGCAAACAGGAUUAGAUACCCGAGUAGUC
rnacentral:rRNA from 1 species